AGUGAACGCUGGCGGUAGGCCUAACACAUGCAAGUCGAACGGCAGCACAGUAAGAGCUUGCUCUUACGGGUGGCGAGUGGCGGACGGGUGAGGAAUACAUCGGAAUCUACUUUUUCGUGGGGGAUAACGUAGGGAAACUUACGCUAAUACCGCAUACGGCCUACGGGUGAAAGCAGGGGAUCUUCGGACUUUGCGCGAUUGAAUGAGCCGAUGUCGGAUUAGCUAGUUGGCGGGGUAAAGGCCCACCAAGGCGACGAUCCGUAGCUGGUCUGAGAGGAUGAUCAGCCACACUGGAACUGAGACACGGUCCAGACUCCUACGGGAGGCAGCAGUGGGGAAUAUUGGACAAUGGGCGCAAGCCUGAUCCAGCCAUGCCGCGUGGGUGAAGAAGGCCUUCGGGUUGUAAAGCCCUUUUGUUGGGGAAGAAAAGCAGCAGGUUAAUACCCCGCUGUUCUGACGGUACCCAAAGAAUAAGCACCGGCUAACUUCGUG
rnacentral:rRNA from 1 species